GCCUGCCAAACCCAAAGAAGAAGAACAUGGCAGCAAGAUUUCUGAAAGAUUCACUCACUUUUUAACAAUCCCACCAAAUAUUGUAGAUUAUGAUUGUAGGAGGCCUGUCUGAACUUAAUAUACAGAUUUCAUGCUGCUGUUAACUGUGUGAUUUCUGAUGGUUAUGUUUAAGAGUUGCUGAAAUCCAUCAAUGGAAGAAUCUCUACAUGGAGCAUGGCAUCAAGGAUGGAGCAGGAGUAAAGUCAGCAGAUAUGGAUCCAGACACGGAGCACCUCACAAGGAAGGCGCACACCCUCAUCAAGAGCUGCUCUAUGACCACAGAAUCUGAUUAGGAGAAGAAACUUUCUGGUGCCUACUCCCCUGGGUUCAGGUGAAGACUUGUUUUCAGAACUGAACGAGGAAGUUUAGGAAAACCAGCACAUGAUGUAGAGAAAUUUCAGCACUGUGGCUCAACAGGAGCAGGUCCUGCCUUACCUGAACACCUUUGUCAGUGAUGGAGCUUCCUGUUUGUAUCUAAACACUGGGUCAGUUAAAGAGGGUGGGGGAGUAAAGAAAGGCCACUUCCUCCCUUGUGUUGGUGUAGCUGAAGUCGUAGACGUCCAAUAUUUUCUCCUCUUGCCUUUGGUGCUGUUUAUCCGAUUAUAGUCUAUACCAAAAAUAUAGAUUAUUUUGGCAUGGGCAACCCACUCUUGUAGUUUUCUCUGAGCUCUGUGUCUCUGAAAAGUAAUGUUUCCAUUCUAAAGAAAUCCAGACUGUGUUACAGAUCUACUGACCUUGUAGGAAUUCUUUUCUUUCCACUGAACUACAUCUGCUAACCAUAUCAGUGUCCUGGAGGAAGCACGUAAAGGCUUUGAACAAGAAGCUUGACUUCAUGACAGGCUUCAUGCUUCUUUGUAGUUGGCAGGUGUAGACACUGCACCAGAUUUCUGAGUUUUAACAAAUUCAUGCAUUUCAAUAAUACUUGGGACUAGAAAAGGUGGCAGUCGAGAAACAGGCAGUGCUUCAUUUAACAAAGUCAAUAUUUAUAGCAGAAAAGAUGGAGGUUUAGAUCAUUGGCCUUAAAAUAUUUAUUAAAAACCCUGGACUAACCUCCAGCCAUAACAUGUUUGGCAUAAAAAUAUUAACAGUUGUAAUUAAGACAUGUGCACAAAGUCUUUCAAAUACAGCCUCUGUCAUGUCAAGAAACAUGAACAGAACAUUUAAAAUAGCCAUCAGAUAAAAUUCACAGCAAACCUGAUAUGCUGCCAGUGCCAGCUAGCUUCCAUGUUGGAAAAACACAGAUGUGGAAGUGCUUUAAAUUUCUCUGGAAACCACCAGCAUGUGGUUUCAAAAUCAGACCUCCACACAUCAUAUUUCUGCCAUGUUGUUUUUGAG
ensembl:lncRNA